rnacentral:lncRNA from 1 species
GUAGAAUGCUGCUCUCAGCCCUGAUGGUUUUCUGCCUUUGCACUGCCCACAUCCCUACCAAGGAGGAAAGUUAAACCACUCCAAGGUUUUGAAAAGAAAUGCUGCUCCAGCUCUGCCUCUCCAGGGCUGAAGGAUGGGCCAAGCUUUCUGCUCAUCACAGCUUUGCUACUGACACCACAAACCAGCGCUGGGAAAACCUCCAAAGGUCUGGAUUGAAGAGAAGAGAUGUAAUGCCCAUACAUGGGGGUAAAAAAGCAUGAGGGACUGAUUGGGAAUCAAGCAUUCAGCCUACAGCCAUUAAAGGGAAACAGUUGGUUUGCCUUUUUCUUAAAGCCAUCAAGUUUCAGCUACUAUUUUUCAUGCAGUCACCCCUCCUCUAAGGUGUGUUACAUGUGGCUGUAA